AAAGUGUGAAGCUGUUAUAAUUUUUGUUUUGGAAACGGUUUUAUAAAAAUUACAUUUCUAGUUUUUGACUACCGACAUUCAUUUGAACAUGGAGAAUCAUCUCCUUGGAACAAAUUUUGCGUGAUCAUAACUUUUGCAAGCUCCAAUGUAUGCGUUGAAUGAACAGCGACUCCACUCAACUAAUUACCUAGUGACAACUUAUGUGUAUAGUGCUAUAUAAUAGUCAGCGGAAAAUGCUACCUACAUCCGAAGAAACCAAAGCCCUUUUGGGCUAUAAUCCUGACUUAUCCGCACAGGAACUGGAAGAUGCAGAACGGCAGGCAAUGGAUACUUCAAAAACUAUAUACGAUUUGAAAACAGAAAUUGCAUUACUAUUGAAGCCCGCAGAAAGAAAAAAUGACCGAAUUAGAAACCAAACAAUUAGAGGAGAAGAACAAACAAUUAAGCGACCAGUUGAGCAUAUUUGACGCAAAAACCGACAAAAUUCGCUUUCUUAUCGACCAGGCCAGUCGAUUUCAGGAUUUGAUAUCGCCGAGACCUCGAGAAAACUUUAACGAAGACAUGCUACCGAAAGUGAUUGUAUGUGGAAUAGCCGAAAAUAAUAUUCCAAGAAUCAUCGUUUGUGACGACAAGAGAAGAUCUAGAAAUUACGCCAGUACAUCCAGCUUUCCCGUGCCACAAACUAGAGUACUACCGCAGCUGGCUAAGAAACUCAGCGAAAGUUAUGCCAUACAAAAACGGCUAGCUGAGGAAGAUGCGGAUUUAAAAAAUAAAAAGCUCAAUUGAUUUUUGCAAUAAGGGUGACACAAGUGUAAAAGUGGAUAAUUUUGAUUAACGCACACAAAAGGCAGCUGGCGAUUAAAAUUUGAAAGUGAUGUUAUUACUCUAUGCAUACUUUAAUUUUGUAGAUAAUGGCAACUGGUAUUGACGCAAGUAAUGCCAGUUUCAUGUAGCAUCACUGAUUUUGAUCGCCAGUGUGUUCCGUUUGGUAUUUUAUGUAAAAAAUGGCCCAUUUUUAUCACGUAUAUUAAAACCGU